rnacentral:rRNA from 1 species
CCUACGGGAGGCUGCAGUGGGGAAUAUUGCACAAUGGGCGCAAGCCUGAUGCAGCCAUGCCGCGUGUGUGAAGAAGGCCUUCGGGUUGUAAAGCACUUUCAGCGGGGAGGAAGGCGGUGAGGUUAAUAACCUCAUCGAUUGACGUUACCCGCAGGAGAAGCACCGGCUAACUCCGUGCCAGCAGCCGCGGUAAUACGGAGGGUGCAAGCGUUAAUCGGAAUUACUGGGCGUAAAGGGCACGCAGGCGGUCUGUCAAGUCGGAUGUGAAAUCCCCGGGCUCAACCUGGGAACUGCAUUCGAAACUGGCAGGCUAGAGUCUUGUAGAGGGGGGUAGAAUUCCAGGUGUAGCGGUGAAAUGCGUAGAGAUCUGGAGGAAUACCGGUGGCGAAGGCGGCCCCCUGGACAAAGACUGACGCUCAGGUGCGAAAGCGUGGGGAGCAAACAGGAUUAGAUACCCGAGUAGUC